UCUGCGGAAUUUAAGGUAAAGUCAUUAAAGUAAGUAAAGUAGAUGAUAAAGUAAAGUAAUAAAGUAAAAAGUAAAGUAAGUGUAUAGCCGUUUGGCUUGUGCAGGUGAGGCUGUGUAUCCAUGUGAUGUCUCCGGUUGUAUUCAGAGAUUUGAUAUAAAUUCCAGUAAAGUCCGGGGUAAAGUAAAGUAUGAUGUCUCUGUAAAGUUCACGGUAAAGUCGUUAAAGUAUGUAAAGUAAAUGAUUCAGAUCCCUGUAAAGUUCAGGUUAAUGUUUCCGGUUGUUUUCGGAAACUUGAUGUGAUCCUGUAAAGUUCAGGAUAAAAAUGUAAAUGAUGUCUCCGGUUGUUUUCGGAGUUAUGAUGCAAACCCUGUAAAGUUCAGGAUAAUGUCUCCGGUUGUUUUCGGAGACUUGAUGCAAUCCUGUAAAGUUCAGGAUAAAAUGUAAAUGAUAUCUCCGGUUGUUUUCGGAGUCAUGAUGCAAACCCUGUAAAGUUUAGGAUAAUGUCUCCGGUUGUUUUCGGAGACUUGAUGCAAACCCUGUAAAGUUCAUGUGAAUGCCGAUCCCUGUAAAGUUCAGGGGUAAAGUUGUAAAGUGAAUGCAAACCCCUGUAAAGUUUAGGUGAAUGCAGAUCCCUGUAAAGUUCAGGGUAAAAUUGUAAAGUGAAUGCAAACUUCUGUAAAGUUCAGGUGAAUGUAGAUCCCUGUAAAGUUCAGGUGAAUGCAGAUCCCUGUAAAGUUCAGGGUAAAAUUGUAAAGUGAAUGCAAACCCCUGUAAAGUUCAGGUGAAUGCAGAUCCCUGUAAAGUUCAGGGUAAAAUUGUAAAGUGAAUGCAAACCCCUGUAAAUUUCAGGUGAAUGCAGAUCCCUGUAUAGUUCAGGGUAAAGUUGUAAAGUGAAUGCAAACCCUUGUAAAGUUCAGGGUAAAAUUAUAAAGUGAAUGCAAACCCCUGUAAAGUUCAAGUGAAUGCAGAUCCCUGUAAAGUUCAGGGUAAAAUUAUAAAGUGAAUGCAAACCCCUAUAAAGUUCAGGUGGCAGAUCCCUGUAAAGUUCAGGUGAAAGUAGGUAAAGUUAGUAAAGUAAAUGAUAAGGUAGAGAGUAGAGUAAGAGUGUAGCCGUCUGGCUUAUGAAAAUGAGGCUGUAUAGCCAAAAGAUGCCCCGGUUGUCUCCGGAGACUUAAUGAUAAUUGCUAAAAAAGUGAUAUAUUGCGGGUCUAAGCAAGUGCUAAAGUGAAUGGGUUAAUUUAUUGGAUUGAUGUGGGACAUAAUAAGAUGGGAAUGUUUUUCCUUUUCCUCCUAUGUGAUAUUUUACUUCAAUGAGUGAGCUCAUUUGCAACGUGCAAUUGCAGUGCUAAUGACAUAUGCAAGGAGUCUAAGAGGCAAACAAUAAAUGCGGAGGAUGUGUUCAAGGCCCUUGAAGAGAUUGAGUUUCCCGAGCUCAUCGAACCUCUCAAAGCUUCUCUCGAGGUAUUCAGAGAAAAGAACUCUAAAAGGAAGUCCGCAUCAUCGAAGUCCACAGAAUCUAACAAAAAGGCCAAGCUGAAAGAACCUGACUUUGGAUGUUCGCGUCAACCAUCUUGAUGUUUGCGAGGGGUGAAGUAGUCUAAUGUUGUAGACUAACUUAAUGUAGACUAGUUUAAUGUUUUGUGGAUGUUUACAAAUGUUGAAGUAGUUUAAUGUUGUUUUGAUGUUUGCAAAGGUUGAAGUAGCUUAAGUCUCUUGUGAAUGAUUGAUGUUUUUAUUCAACUUUGAAGUAGUUUCAAAUUGAAUUUGAUGUAUUGGUGGUUGUAGUAUAUGUGUUGUAAUAGUAGUUUAAUGUUUUAUGUAUUUAUAGUAGUUUGGUGUAUUGUUGGCAGCUA